AUUUCAAGAUUUUCAUUUUGAAACUAAAGAUAUUGUCAAAAUAACAAUAUUUUUCUGUACGGUUAUUAUAAUAAUAGAAUUCGAGAUUUUAUAACUACGGACUGUUCGCUAGAUUUUAUUAUGUGGUGAUUUAAGAUCUCUGAUUCAUCCGUUUUUGAAUAGACUUACUGUAUGAUUGAAUCCAUCAGAUUUCCAAUUAGUGCAACAAGACUCUUUUUCAAUGUACGGAAGUGACAUAAGGAAAUGGGGCUUGUGCAUCGGCCCGAUAUAGAUUCGCGCCGUGCUCCCGCCUUAUACUAAAGAUUUCCGUUCUCCAUCUGCCGUCGUCUCCCCUUCGAUUGUUCUCUCCCCUCCCCCCCUUCCUACCCCCGAGAGUUUUGAUUUGCACGCCGUUAUUAUUCAUUUGACGUUGCGCGGAUGCUAAAAAUAUCGGUUCCGACUCGAAUCUGAUCUUCGUGGCUAAAUUUAGUUACAUAUUUGUAGUCAUAAGUUAUCAGUCAGACAGAUUAAAGAUAAUUUAAUUUUCUUCCAUAAGACAAUUAAACGAUGUCGCGAAAAAUGAUAUCGAUAAUUCUAAAACGGAAAAUUAAAUUUGGAUAAUUAUGCAUUUCCCAAAAUUAAAUAUCGCUAAAGAUGAUUUAAUUGCUUGCAUUUUAAUAUGUCUCCUCGAAUAGUUCUUGCCGUCUCCGCAUUGGAAAUUAAAGAUUGCAAAUUGAGGAUUACAAUUUAAACAAUUAAAACGAAAUAGAUAAAUUAAAAUUAAAAUUAUUUGAUUGAUCGAGUUCUAAUGUUUGAUUUGCAAUCUUUAAUUUUUAAUUCACGGUUAGAAAAGUGUUAAAUAACAUAUAUCGCGUAUCCCAACGAUUGACUAACGUUUUUGUAUUAAAUUAACAAAAGGUGAAUGUGUCAGAAAGUUACAUAAAUGUUGUGUAAAGAAUUAAAAAUGUAACUUUAGCACAAUUUAGAAACAGAGUAAAGAUAUUUUUUUAGUAAAAUUAACAAUUAUAACGUGCUGAUACACAUACAUUUUAUUUAGUAAUUUUUGAAAGAGUGAGAGAAAGGGAGAAUUAAUUUUUUUUAAUUACAUUAUCUUCAUUUAUUUAUCCACAAACUGUGUUAUUUUACACUAAGAAAUAAAUAUCAAUUUAACACAAAAAUAUUUAAAUACAACAAAAAAAUAAGUACGGAAGGUUUUAACAUAAAAUGUUUAAUCUGAUACGAGCUUAAUUAAGAUUGCGGAUUAGAAGCAUCUGGGAUUGUCGAAACAUUGUAAUUAUUUCUCGGAGAUAAAGAUUCUAUUGCGCUAUAAGUCUGCCUGUUUGUUUUAAAGGCUAAGUCGUUUCGGCGCUACCGCUCAACUUCGGACAAUUAGGGAGAAUUAAGGCGCGCCACGCUCUUAACUCUUUCGUUCACUGAACUUGUGGGCGAGAAAGCUAUGCAAUUUAAGAGCAUAAAGUCUCUCGCGAGUCUCGACGGACGCAACAGUGCGUGAAAGUGUCGAUUCAUCGAACACGCAAGGGCGUGAACUUACAUCGAUUUACGCCAAGUGUCGUUACGCUAACUCGUGCGAAACAAGUUUGUCGAUCAAUUUCGUUCGGGUUGCGUGGUGACGAGUGGAAAAAAAAAUUGGUGAGUGAAAAUUUUUCCAUCGUGGAAUACGAAAUGACAAUUAAAUAUGUACAGCCUUCGCGCGAAGGUUGUCAACAAAAAAUCCGGAAAUGCGGAAAAUAUUUUCCGGGAAAAUAUUAGCCGAUAGCAUAAAUAAAAUCGAAAUAAUGCACUUUCGAAAAGUAAAUCACUCGUAAAAGUGUAAACACAAUUGGAAAUUAAACGUGGAAAUAUUGUGAAAGCGCAACGCGAAUUCGUGUCGCGUUAUUUCACCUCUAGGUUGAAUCCGAAAUUGAAUAGGGUUUCAAAUAUUUGCCAGAAACGUAGGAUUGCGAGUGCUCGUUGGAUUUGCCUUUAAUUCGCGAAAUGCGCGGGAGCUUAUAAAUUUUCCGAGAUUAUGGCGAAGUAAUAAGAAAUGUAAAUUACAGCUGACAAGUCAUCGCGAGGAAUAUGUGGCGGUUUAUAUCGCAACGGGACAUGGUUUCUGAAUUAUUACCGAGUUUAACCCGAAGUAUUUUCGGCCCAUCGACGAUUACAUGUCGAGACACAUUACGCGCCCGAGACACCAAGGUUCGUUAACCCCCACACGGAAAAAACAAGCGCAGUUGUAUUAACGUGACAUGUUUGGUUCAACAAGAUUUAGCUGGAUUAAAUGGAAUUUCCGAUUAUCAUAAUAAAAUAUUGUGGUAACCAAGAAGAACAUUUAGGUCUAACAAUGGUCAAAUUUUGAUUACUCCUGAUUUAGUUAUAAUAUCUAAUUGCAUGGUUAUUAUGACUAUAUAAUAUAGUUAGAUAAACAUGACAUGUAUAGUAAAAUUAAACACAAUUUUUCAAAAAUUGUUUCAUUUGACGAUUGUGUUGUUGAGUUUUCCUAGAAACCGUGAACGAGUUUGGACGUGCUGUGGAAAAUUUAAGUUCUUGCAAAGAUUAUCUCUGCUCAAGUGCUCUGCAUUGUAUCAUUCAAUAGCCUGUUCUUUUAUCGCACCAGUGCUGCACUGCUGCACUGGUGCGAUAAGGCAGAAUGAAAAAAAAAAAAUUAUUUGUCUUACUCUAACCUGUUACUCUAACCCUGUGCAGCAGUACAGGGACAAAGAACAAGCCAUGAGUUUGAUUUUGUUAUUAAAUUUGUUUUCGCAACACAAUUACGUGUUUUCGGUGCCAGUAUCGUUCUCGAUAUCUAUGGGGAAGAAACGCAACAAGCCAUAAAUAAUUCUAAGAAGAACUAGUACCACCAUCAAAUUUAUUUGUAAAAAAUGGUGGUUACCUAAAUCAGAAUAUGUCACUAUUCGGAUUAAUAAACCACAUUAUGCCUGUUUUUUUAAUCAAAAGUCUAAUCAUAUUAUUAAGAUUAAUUAAAAAGAAUUAAUGACGAAGUUGACUUUAACUGGCAAGUAUUUUAUUCGAAUUAAUACGACGUUUUGGCCCUCGCUUUGAGCUCUUAUCAAAUACAUAUACAAAUUAAAUUCUUCAAUAAUAGCCACACAUUUUUACUAAUUGUGCCAACAAACCAUAAAACUGAAUGCAAUUCAAGUAACUCCAAAGUAUGUAGAAAAGAUUUAAAAAAAAAAGAAGAAUUUAAACUCUAAGCAGAAAA